rnacentral:tRNA from 1 species
GGGGCAUUAGCGCAGCUGGGAGCGCGCCACAUCCGCAAUGUGGAGGCCACGGGUUCGAAUCCCGUAUGCUCCA